AGAAAGGAGGAGGGAGAGACGCGAAGGCUUUUGUGGCACAGUCGCCUCUCGCGCAGCCCCAGCCCGCGGCCGGCGGCCCCGCAACCUGGCGGGACCGAGCAGCGCGCCCCGGCGCGCACCCACUCCUACCCGCACGUACUCCCAGCCCCCCUCCCACUCCCACCCUAGCCACCCUUCUUACCCCACCCCUGCCAUCCUGUCCCAAUCCAGCCACUGGCCCGCCCCCCAGAUCAGCUCGAAAUGAUUAGGCUAGAGGCCGCCUGCAUUCUGGCCAGGCUGGUCCGCUUGGGGGACGAAGGGCCUGAGCCCCUCUCUUCACCGGGAAUAGGCCCACCCAGGUGACUUCCCUCAGGACCCCAGUGUCCCAGCCGACAGCUUACGGGGUGAUGGGGGGCGCUAGAUGGUGGCACCGGCGGCCCGAAUCUUCCUGGGGGUGGCGUGCGCGGCUCUCACUUCCACCUUGCUGGGUCUACUAUGCCUCACUGUGGGAGGCGCCCCGCGUGGCCUCGAGUCUGGUCGCCUACCCCGCGCCGACCAGCGUGUCCCCGUGGGACCCGGAUCCGGGGCGCCUUCGUUGCGCGAACUGCCAGCCAGGAGAGCCUAGAGGGGAAUGACUGUCACUGGAUAGACGACCUUCUCUGAGAGGACACGAAGCCUCGCUGUCACUUGGGCAGGAAGGAGAAAGCUGGUGGCUCCGGAGCAGUCGGCAGCGCAGGUAGCUCAGAAGAGGAGGCCAGGAAUCACCGAAGGGCACUCCCAGGUGCUCCACAGGGAACCUGGCGUGUGCAGGCCUGAAUGUCGGCGCCCACCCAACAGUGGUCGCUGCACUUCGGACAAGGCGGCGUGGACGUGCGCGUUUCAAGAAGCCGAGUCCCCCACGAGUCCAAGCGCUGAGAAACGCCAGAAACGCGGCCAGGACUUCAGGGCCAACCGGGAAAGCGGCAGUCGCGGGCCCAGGCGCUCUGUAGACGCGGACCUUCCCGGCUGUCUGGCCGCGGGGAGGCCGGAGCGGUGCGGGCCCGAAGUCGUGCGCGCGGGCGGCGAGGGGGCGCUGUGGCCCGCGGCUGAGGCCUCGUCCCUGCUGCGGUGGCCCCAGCAACGUUCCAGGCCACCGACGGGCGGCGGGCGCCCCUGCCCUGGCUUACCCCGUUCCACUUGGGUUUAAUUCGGGGAAGAACAAUUAUAUCAGGCAUUGCAAUAAAACUUACUCCGCAUACGAUCUUUGUCUUAUUGCCCUAACCUUCGCUGGACUUUUUGUAAGUUUGGUGAAUAUUUGAGGGCGUGUAAUUUUUGUUUUUUUGGUUUUUCUUGUCAAUUACGAUUAAUACAUAGCCCAGCAGAUAUGGCUUAGUGGUUGAGCGUCGACCCACACACCAAGAGGUCGCCGGUAGGAUUCCAGGUCAGGGCACAUGUCUGGCUUGUAGGAGGGCUCCUUCCCCAGUACCUGGCUUGCAGGAGGCAGCCCAUCAAUGUUUCUAUCUCUUUCUUCCUCUCCCUUCUUCUCUCUCUCUCUCUCU